rnacentral:lncRNA from 1 species
CAAAUCAAAAUUAAUUAAUUAUUUAAUGACGAAACACUCGAGACUUAUUUAAUCGCACUGAUAGAUUAAUAUAAUAAAAUUUAUUAUAUCGGAGCAAAAAGAUAAUAUCGAAAUAUAAAAAUAGACUGAUAAAAUAAAGAUAAAUGAUUGAAUUAAAAUGUUGCACUGGUAUAUAUACAGAAGAAAUUAGAGAUUUUACAUCAGAAUCAUCGAAAAGAAGUUCAGUUUAAAUGGCUUCUUAAGAUUGAUCAACAAUGAGGAAGUUUAUUAUUUCCUUACUAUUAGCAAUACUAUGUAUUGCGACACAAUCGGCAGUAUCAGAGGUAGAAGUUGAAGAUCCAGGAGACUACGAAAAGUAUCUUCUCGAUCUUAAAUAUGAGCCCGUCAUCUACGAAUUAGAACAAUCCAACGUUGAGGAAUUUGACGAUGAUUAUCGACCA